AAACUUUCAACAACGGAUCUCUUGGCUCUUGCAUCGAUGAAGAACGCAGCAAAGCGCGAAAUGUAGUGUGAAUUGCAGGACAUCGUGAAUCAUCGAAUCUUUGAACGCACAUUGCGCCUCCUGUUACAGGGAGGCAUGCCUGUCUGAGCGUCAUU
rnacentral:rRNA from 1 species